rnacentral:rRNA from 1 species
UACGUAGGGCGCAAGCGUUGUCCGGAAUUAUUGGGCGUAAAGAGCUCGUAGGCGGUCUGUUACGUCCGCUGUGAAAACCCAGGGCUUAACCCUGGGCUUGCAGUGGAUACGGGCAGACUAGAGGCAGGUAGGGGAGAAUGGAAUUCCUGGUGUAGCGGUGGAAUGCGCAGAUAUCAGGAGGAACACCGGUGGCGAAGGCGGGUCUCUGGGCAGUAACUGACGCUGAGGAGCGAAAGCGUGGGGAGCGAACAGG